CCAUGUUUGUGCAGGUUGGAUGCAAACAAAUCAUAUUAUUUAUCGGAUUAUUUACCAAGAGAUAUGGAUGUAUGGACUCAUUACGAUAAAACACUUCUGGUAAGCAUCGUUGAGCAUUUAUUUUUAGUAUUUUACUUAACGCAACCUUCACUCAGGAUGUAGAGACACACAGGAAUAACUGAUUAUUUCUCUUAACAUGCUACACAUUUCUUUUAAUAUUUCUGUUUUGUAGUAACCAAGAGAAGUGUCAUCACUGAAGGACUGGCAGAUGCUACUCAACACUGAACAGUGGUUGCAGUCCAAGACAAAUCAUCUUUAUUAUACUUCUGACUGAACUAGCAAGGAGCAUUAGAGACAAUGAGAAAGUAAGUUCAAGUAAAAUGUCUGCACUGACCAUUUCACCAUGUUAUUUUCUGCAGUAACUGCGGAGGAUAAUAACUGAAGACACCUGAUCAACAGCAAGCUUUGAAUCUACUUAAUGUGUAUUUUUCAAGCAUUUUAUUGCAGCGUUCAGUGUUAUAUUUCUGCAUAGCAAUGACUGGUGAAGUGUUUAUUCAUUUACUUCAAUGUAUAGUUAGCCAGAAUUCUGUCAUUUACGUUUCUCUGCAGAACACAAAAGAAGAUACUUUGAAGAAUGCUGGUAAUCAAACCCAACAAGUUUGUCAGGUAUGGACAGUAUGAAGGGGACUGCCAUUAAAUGAUUUUCAUUUUUUGGGUGCAGAAAUGAAAGCUCCCAAACAAAGAUGUCACCAGAUUAAGAAGUGGAAAGACAUGUUACACCACCGCGACCAUAAAUCCUGAGCAAUUUGAACAACCAUGGGCAACAACCAGGUCUCUUUAAUUCUAUCCACUAGGUCACCUCGAAGCCUGGGAUCGAUUCCACAGAAAUUAAUGUGUAAUUAUGAGAAACCAACUAAAGUAACAGCUGACUCCACCCACCAAGAUGACAGUGGUAUCGAGGGCAGUAUUAGCGGCGUGUGCCAGCCCAGGCUGGAGCUUCAGCAGUGGCUAAAUGGCUUCAUAGGGACCUGCUGGCCUCCCGACGGGCUUGCAGAUGGCCUGAAGUUUUUUUUUUUCUCUGUCUUCCUGACGGGGCUGAGUCAGAGCACCGAUGGCAGCUCACGCACCGGUGGCGUGCUGCCAGCUGAAGAAUCUGUGACGGCGUUGCUCACUGACACCACACGAGCAGACACAAGUGCAUGCACACCUACACAUUCACAAAAUGCUUUGCUCAUAUUCAUAAAUCACGUCUCCUCAUUUUCGCAACCAGAUUGUCUGAGUAUUUUGUUUUUGUUUGAGUAUUGUUUUUUGGUCGAGCACCCAGUUUAGAUUGAUGUGCGUUGCGUGCUUUUGCCUCCUUUUUCUGAGUAGGACUGUAAAAACCAUCCAUCUAACUACGGGACUAUUGGAGUAUGUCAUUGGAGUGUGCAAGCUUUUGUUUUGCUUGUGGUUGCUGGUGUGCAGCUCGCGGGAAGAAAAAAAGGGCCAUUAGGCCUAGCAUACUUGCUAGCAAAGAGAAGUCACAAAGACAAAAACAGGACUUGCUAAAAUUCCUGGUAGCCCUUCGAGUAGGCAUUCUUCAGAUUUUGGUAGCCCAAAAUGAAUUUAACUCGCCCGAAUAAAAAAAAAACAUCGGCUGAACUUAACUGUGGA
ensembl:lncRNA